UGUUCUCCAAUAAUACUAACCUUUCAGACAAAGGUUCUCUCAAAAAAGUUCCAGAGAUUAUUGUAGGAAAAAUAAAAAACUUAGUGCAUUUAAUUCCUAUGUAGGCCGAGUAUUUGAAACGCUUUUUGGUUGAUCUGUUGGAAAAGGAAGACCUUGGGACGCGCAUCGGCAAAUUAUCAACUCACAUUGAUGAGAUCAAGGGUGAAAUCUACCACGCCGUACACGAGAAGUAUGCCAACUACAGACCCACCAGGGACUCCACCCAGGAGCUACACAACAAGGUGCAGACACUGUCCACUGAGAUGCAGACUCUCAGCAAUAAGAUCAAGGUUAAACAACACGGUGACUCCACUGUGGAACCAGCCGUAUGAGGACCAGCUAUCCACCAAAUAGACCAACACCAGGGAGUUUCUGAGGAAUUUAUCCAAGAUGCUGCAAUGGAACAUUGGGGAGAUGUCUCCCUGGCUGAAGCAACAAAGGAAGAACCACAGUGGGAUGGAAUGUGAGUUGCAGCCAAUUAAGCCAUCGCCAGUAUUAGAGAGUUAUCGCAACAAGUGUGAGUUUACCAUCGGAAAGAGUGUCUAUGGCAUCGAUAACACUGUUGGUUUCCGGCUUGGCGCUUACAAAAGU